rnacentral:lncRNA from 1 species
UGCAAUCCCGCCGGAAGUGGGUGCUUCCAACCGGAGGCGCCAUCGACGUCUCACGAAAAAGACGAAGAGCCGGCGCGGAUGAAGAAGAAGUGGACGAAGGAGAAGUCCACACUGCUCCUACCCAGAGGCGCCAUCCACGCCUCACGAAAAAGACGAGGAGCCGCCGCAGAAGAAGCUCCCGCUGCCUCCAGGGGAACGCCACCUCCAAGGGAUAUUCCGGUCCUCCCCAGUGUUAGGAGAGAGAAGGAAUACAAGGGAGAAGAGCAUAUGGAGGCGCGGUCCCGGAUCAAGCGUCUCGCGCAGAGCUCAAUCGGGAGGCUGAACUUCAAGGAGGGGAGACGUGAUCCCGGAUGAAACGCCUAGAGCGGAGUUCCGCCGGGGAGAACCUCCUUGUUGAUCCCAGAUGAAACGACUAGUUGGCGGAAGUCGCGAGGGG